UUCCCAUGUGAUUUCUGCUUUGGUCUUGUUUAAGAAAUCCUUUCUGAUGUGGUAUGCUGAAGGUGGCCUAUCAUUUCUUCCGAUGUGGUAUGCUGAAGGUUUAUUUUCCAUGUUUGGUUUCAAAUUCACUUAGGGCUUAUUUCUGUACAUGAGACGCCUGCUUCCCUUCGCCUUCUGCCAUGAUGAAAGCUUCUUGAGGCCUCCGCAGAAGCCGAGCAGAUGCCAGCACCAUGCUUCCUGUAAAGCCUGCAGAACCAUGAGCCAAUUAAACUUCU
rnacentral:lncRNA from 1 species